rnacentral:rRNA from 1 species
AUUGAACGCUGGCGGCAGGCCUAACACAUGCAAGUCGAACGAGUGGCGGACGGGUGAGUAAUGUCUGGGAAACUGCCUGAUGGAGGGGGAUAACUACUAGAAACGGUAGCUAAUAACGCAUAACAUCAGAUGUGCCCAGAUGGGAUUAGCUAGUUGGUGGGGUAAAGGCUCACCAAGGCGCCGAACCCUCGCUGGGCUGAGAGGAUGACUAGCCACACUGGAACUGAGACACGGUCCAGACUCCUACGUGAGGCAGCAGUGGGUAAUAGUGCACAAUGGGCGCAAGUCUGAUGCAGCCAUGCCGCGUGUAUGAUGAAGGCCUUCGGGUUGUAAAGUACUUUCAGCGGGGAGGCGUUACCCGCAGAAGAAGCACCGGCUAACUCCGUGCCAGCAGCCGCGGUAAUUC